rnacentral:tRNA from 1 species
CUCUGGGUAGUGCAAAUGUUUAACAUGUUUGGCUGCUAACCAAAAGGUUGGAGGUUUGAGUCCACUCAGAGG